rnacentral:tRNA from 1 species
CAGAUAAUAGUUUAUUUAUGCAAAACAUGAAUUUUGGAGAUUCAAAAAUUAAAUCUGA